rnacentral:rRNA from 1 species
GGUCCGGCUAACUUCGUGCCAGCAGCCGCGGUAAUACGAAGGGACCUAGCGUAGUUCGGAAUUACUGGGCUUAAAGAGUUCGUAGGUGGUUAAAAAAGUUGGUGGUGAAAUCCCAGAGCUUAACUCUGGAACUGCCAUCAAAACUUUUUAGCUAGAGUAUGAUAGAGGAAAGCAGAAUUUCUAGUGUAGAGGUGAAAUUCGUAGAUAUUAGAAAGAAUACCAAUUGCGAAGGCAGCUUUCUGGAUCAUUACUGACGCUGAGGAACGAAAGCAUGGGUAGCGAAGAGGAUUAGAUACCCUCGUAGUCCAUGCCGUAAACGAUGUGUGUUAGACGUUGGAAAUUUAUUUUCAGUGUCGCAGUGAAAACAAUAAACACACCGCCUGGGGAGUACGACCGCAAGGUUAAAACUCAAAUGAAUUGACGGGGACCCGCACAAGUAGUGGAGCAUGUGGUUUAAUUCGAAGAUACGCGCAGAACCUUACCAACACUUGACAUGUUCGUCGCGACUCUAAGAGAUUAGAGUUUUCGGUUCGGCCGGACGAAACACAGGUGCUGCAUGGCUGUCGUCAGCUCGUGUCGUGAGAUGUUGGGUUAAGUCCCGCAACGAGCGCAACCCUUACUUUUAGUUGCCAUCAUUUAGUUGGGCACUCUGAAAGAACUGCCAGUGAUAAGCUGGAGGAAGGUGGGGAUGACGUCAAGUCCUCAUGGCCCUUACGUGUUGGGCUACACACGUGCUACAAUGGCAUCUACAACAGGAAGCAAAACGGCAACGUUAAGCAAAUCCCGAAAAGAUGCCUCAGUUCGGAUUGCACUCUGCAACUCGAGUGCAUGAAGCUGGAAUUACUAGUAAUCGCGGAUCAGCGUGCCGCGGUGAAUACGUUCCCGGGUCUUGUACACACCGCCCGUCACACCAUGGGAGUUGGUUCUACCUUAAGGCAAAG